rnacentral:antisense_RNA from 1 species
CUUCAACGAGCCGAUCAGCAGCGGUAGUUCGGCGGAGUGCUCCCGGCCGUACGUGGCGAGGAGCGCCUGCGCCUC